AUUGAACGCUGGCGACAUGCCUUACACAUGCAAGUCGAACGGCAGCACGGGUGCUUGCACCUGGUGGCGAGUGGCGAACGGGUGAGUAAUACAUCGGAACAUGUCCUGUAGUGGGGGAUAGCCCGGCGAAAGCCGGAUUAAUACCGCAUACGAUCUACGGAUGAAAGCGGGGGACUUUCGGGCCUCGCGCGAUAGGGUUGGGCGGUGGCUGAUUAGCUAGUUGGUGGGGUAAAGGCCUACCAAGGCGACGAUCAGUAGCUGGUCUGAGAGGACGACCAGCCACACUGGGACUGAGACACGGCCCAGACUCCUACGGGAGGCAGCAGUGGGGAAUUUUGGACAAUGGGCGAAAGCCUGAUCCAGCAAUGCCGCGUGUGUGAAGAAGGCCUUCGGGUUGUAAAGCACUUUUGUCCGGAAAGAAAUCCUUGGCCCUAAUACGGUCGGGGGAUGACGGUACCGGAAGAAUAAGCACCGGCUAACUACGUG
rnacentral:rRNA from 1 species